AAAAAAAAAAAAAAAAAUUAUGUGAUAACUCAAUAAUCAAAGUAUGACCACAUUACACUCUUUUUUCCUAGCAUCUUUCCAAUUAAGGAGACGAUUCACAAAAUUGUUUAGAUGGUCACCAUAUGCAAUUAAGCACACAAUUUAUCAAGUGAUUGGUGGAUGUUGACAUGUUAUGAAAAUAGAGUGAUUGUGGGCAUCAUAUCUCACCUUUUCUCUUGAAACACCAAUAACACAAAAACAUCUAUUUCUAAAUAUGAAAAGAAUCAGAUUAAGAAAAUUGAUUCAUUUUUCUUAUUCUAGUUAAAUUUGAAUAAAACUAAUGUAUGUUUUCCUUUCAUCUUUCAGGAUCAAAUAUUUUAAAACUAUUGAUAAUUCAUAUACAGUGUACUCAAGUCUGAUGCUUUCAUUGGGGUUUCAUUAACAAAGUAGUAUAAGAAUAAAAUAGACCAAGAAAAAGCGUAGGAUUUAUAGUUUCUUCAAUGAAACUGUAGAGACUUUAGUCAUCAGCAAUUGCAAGCUUUUUCCUUUAUGUAUGGAUAAAUUCGCAUGUGCUAGUGUGGCUAUCAAAGAUAACAAAAUAAAAGCAGAUAAAAUCUUUGCUGCUUAGCCACUGUACUUCAACACUAGGCUAUAUCUAGGGUUUAUAUAUGACAAUAAACAAAUCCAGAGGCACGUGCCCUGCAGCAUUACAACUUACAAGUCAUGCACUGUACGCAUUUCCUGCCUCUUGCAAUCACACAAGCACAAGCAGAGGUAGAGCCACAAUCAUUUGAAUGGGGUCAAUUGACCGCACUCAACUUAGGGAAAAAAAAACUUUGAAGAAAGAUAUUAUCUGAAAUCUUUUACGGGUAUUUAUUAGAUUGACCAACUAAAAUGGCAAAUAUAUUAAACAGCCAACAGUAUACACAAAGGAAACGCUAGGACAACAAAAUGAGUAAUAUAGCUACUGCACAUAAAGAUGUUUGGAUUUUCGAAAUAUACAAGCACACAAGAACAAGUGACAUAGUCAUGGCCCAACUCUCUUUAGCACUAAAAGUGUCAGGAGCACACAAGAGUGUUGAAAAAUAAGUCUAUUUCACACAAUACUGGGUGAUAAUUGUUUGUCCAAUUAGAUGUAUGAGGUAUGUUUAAACCUGCCCCCUGAUAAGAAAAAAAUAAUGAUUUUCAUUUGGUAGGUGUUACAAAUUAGAAUAUUGUAAAAUAUCAACUAAUAACUCAUAUCCGUUAUUCCAUAGGUAUCAAUUUUGAAAGCUUUCAGCAGUUUUCCUACAGGUACCAACUUGAUACAGAGCCCGAACCAAGCAACAACAAUUACUGAACCACAAAUGAUUUGCAUCAAAUUUGCUAGCUGCAUAUGCAUAUAAUAAAGACACUGAAACAGAGAUGAAGGUAACAAAAAACUUUUUAAGAUUCUCAUAAUUAAAAGGCCCAUAUUAUGCAAGAUUGUAUUUCUGGUUAUACACAAAUUGCUGCUUUAGGGUAUUAAAUAACACACAGUAAGCUACAUCCACGUAUGAACAUAUCAUGAAUCAGAAUCAGAAGUCAAACUAACAUUGUAAGCAACAAUAUCAGUAAUAUACUUGUGAAAAUUCCAAUUUCACAACUUACCCCUAUAUGAAUCUUCAAUAAAUUAACCCAA
rnacentral:misc_RNA from 1 species